GACGUAGGGGGCUAGCGUUGUCCGGAAUCAUUGGGCGUAAAGAGCGCGUAGGCGGCCAGAUAAGUCCGGUGUGAAAGUCAAAGGCUCAACCUCGAGACGUCGGUGGAAACCGUUUGGCUAGAGUCCGGAAGAGGAGAGUGGAAUUCCCGGUGUAGCGGUGAAAUGCGCAGAUAUCGGGAAGAACACCCGUGGCGAAGGCGGCUCUCUGGGACGGUACUGACGCUGAGACGCGAAAGCGUGGGGAGCGAACAGG
rnacentral:rRNA from 1 species